GGUUGAUCCUGCCAGUAGUCAUAUGCUUGUCUCAAAGAUUAAGCCAUGCAUGUCCAAGUAUAAACGCUUAUACACAGUGAAACUGCGAAUGGCUCAUUAAAUCAGUUAUAGUUUAUUUGAAGGUACCUUACUACUUGGAUAACCGUGGUAAUUCUAGAGCUAAUACAUGCAGCAGGCCCCGACUUUUGGAAGGGGUGUAUUUAUUAGAUAAAAAACCAACCCGGGGUCAAAGCCGGACGCGUGGUGAUUCAUGAUAACUGAGCGAAUCGCAGACCCCACCUCGCGUGGGAGCG
rnacentral:rRNA from 1 species